rnacentral:rRNA from 1 species
GACGAACGCUGGCGGCGUGCUUAACACAUGCAAGUCGAGCGGUAAGGCCCUCGGGUACACGAGCGGCGAACGGGUAGAGUAACACGUGGGUGACCUGCCUCUAGCUCUGGGAUAAGCCUGGGAAACUGGGUCGUAAUACCGGAUAUGACUCCACGGCGCAUGUUGUGGGGUGGAAAGCCUUGAGUGGCUAGAGAUGGGCCCGCGGCCUAUCAGCUUGUUGGUGGGGUGA